GGUGCCAGCAGCCNCGGUAAUUCCAGCUCCAAUAGCGUAUAUUAAAGUUGUUGCAGUUAAAAGCUCGUAGUUGAAUUUCGGGAUCAGUACGCUGGUCAUGCCUUGGUAUGUACUGGUGUUACUGGUUCCUACCUUCUGACGAACCGUCAUGUCAUUCAUUUGGUGUGGCGGGAAUCAGGACUGUUACUUUGAAAAAUUAGAGUGUUUAAAGCAGGCUCGCGCUUGAAUACAUUAGCAUGGAAUAAUGAAAUAGGACGUUUGAUCCUAAUUUUGUUGGUUUCUAGGAUUGACGUAAUGAUUAAUAGGGAUAGUUGGGGGCAUUAGUAUUCAAUUGUCAGAGGUGAAAUUCUUGGAUUUAUUGAAAGACUAACUACUGCGAAAGCAUUUGCCAAGGAUGUUUUCAUUAAUCAAGAACGAAAGUUAGGGGAUCGAAGACGAUCAGAUACCGUCGUAGUCUUAACCAUAAACUAUGCCGACUAGGGAUCGGAUGAUGUUAAUUUUUUAAUGACUCAUUCGGCGCCUUACG
rnacentral:rRNA from 1 species